UGUCGAUAGCGUAAAAGUUAACUCGAAUUUGUAUGGAGUUGGAGCGUUUGCCUACAUUUGCCGCUAUUGGCGCUGUUCCAACUCCAUAAAAAAUUGAGUUAGCUUUUACGCUAUCGA
rnacentral:pre_miRNA from 9 species